rnacentral:lncRNA from 1 species
GCCACUGGAUGACACCCUCUGCAUGGGUACAGACGCCUCGGAGAUGCUGGCUGAGAUCUUGCAGCUGCAGUAGAUCUAGGUGGACAUCAUCCUGGUGAAGACCAUUGAGACCAUGAUGGUAGGCGAGGAGGAGGACAAUGACAAUGAAGACGGUGGCAGGGGUGGCCAUAGGCAUAGGGUGUGACCACCCACACCACCUGGCCAGGAUCUGCUGCAGCCAUUCCUCACGACGACCUCACCCAGGUUCACCACCACCAGGAGGUGAUCCUGGUGCAGGCAUGCCAGGAGGUGGUGGGUAGCGACGACUUGGAUGGGGAACCAGAUACUCAUCCUGGUGCCAGAGCUGGCCAGCGGCGACCACCACCACCACCUCGAGCAGGCCCUGGUCACCAUCGUGGGGGCUGGCAAGGGUGGAUGUGGCACCAUCUUGGGCAACAAGAAGUGGGGGCAGAAGCGAGUGCAGAUCAGGAACCUGGAGGGCAAGUUAUCUGUCUCCAUGUGGUACUCGGAUGAAAACAAAAAGACAUUAACCAUAAAAUAGUGGUUGAGAAACAGAUCACUGGAGAGAACUCACCUCCUGAUUAUUCAGAGUAUAUGACAGGAAAGAAACUUCCUCCUUGGAGGAAUACCUGGCAUUGACAGCUCAGAUCCCAAAAAACUGCAGAAUUCGCCAGAAUGAAGCCAAGAAAAAUUUAAAAGAUGAUGUUCCAUGAACAAUAGCUGGCCCUCGCCAAGGCUGCACAAAGAUGUUCAAGGAUAACUGACAUGAGAAAACAUCUGCACACUCACUGUCACGGAGUCCACUUCUGCACAGAAUGUAGAAGAGCUUUUGUUGAGAGCUCAAAACAAAAACCACACAAACUGGUUCACACUGGAGAGAAGCUGUUUCAGUUCACGUUUGAAGACCGUGGGAAAUGCUUUUCACUGGACUUCAAUUUCCACACACAU